CCUCCUUAUACGAUUUAGGACUUAUUUGUUCGUAGUGUCCACACAGAUGAUUGUUAGUUAGUUUGCUCUUUGAGUUUACUAAUUAAUAUGCUCUUUAAAAAUUUGGAAAAGCUGAUAAUAAAAUUCGUAUGAAUGACAUUUGUUAUUUGUACAGAGUUUUCAAAAGUAAAAAAGAAUGAUAGCAGUAUCAUUCAGUGCCAAUUUAAUCUUCGGAUUAAUUGGUAUCUACUUUAGUAUUCAAUAUUAACUUCUGGCGAAGUUAAACUGUCACAAAACAAAGACCGUUUGGGUUGUAUGGUUAAGUGACUAAGCGUACACGGUGGAUGCCUUGGCAGUUGGAGGCGAUGAAGGACGUAUUAACUUGCGAUAAGCCUAGUCAAGCUAGUAAAAAGCACUUGAGACUAGGAUUUCCGA
rnacentral:misc_RNA from 1 species